rnacentral:rRNA from 1 species
UAGGGAAUCUUCCACAAUGGGCGAAAGCCUGAUGGAGCAACGCCGCGUGUGUGAUGAAGGCUUUCGGGUCGUAAAGCACUGUUGUAUGGGAAGAACAGCUAGAAUAGGAAAUGAUUUUAGUUUGACGGUACCAUACCAGAAAGGGACGGCUAAAUACGNGCCAG